GGUUCGUACGCGUGGUACCACGGAUCGUGAUAAUGCACCAAGGCCUGGCAGGCCUAGAGUCCAUCCUCGUAGGAUAGGUAGGGGAAAAGCACCAGCUCCCGACUCAGAGAUAGAGCCGAAGCUGGUAGAGGAGCAUCAGGACACUCCAAUUCUUCCUUAGCUAGAGGGACCACCACCAGCAGCACCCAUUAUGACCUUAGCACUAUAGACAGUGAUUGCGAAGCUCCUCACGGCUAUUGGGGUUGUAACACAAGCCCUGACCCUAGUAGCUAGCAUACCAUCACCGCGAGAUCCUCCCGGCCAGCUAGCACCUGAGGUUCAGCUACCUCCAAUAAUUAUUGCACCCCCGCCAAUAGUUCCAGAGGGUGUGAUGUCAUUAUAGGAUCAGAAGAUGUUAGGGGUAUUUUAAAGUCUGUCACCCUUAAUAUUUUCUAGACUUAUUGGUGAGGAUGCUAUAGAGUUCUUCACUAGUUGUCAAGAGUAGCUCCAUUCCUUAGGUCUUGUGGAGUCUAGAGGCACCAACUUCACUGCUCACCAGUUUAGAAGGGCGGUCAAACAGUGAUGGCGCUCUUAUUUGUAGUCUAGGCCAGUUGGGUCGCCACUAUUGGCAUGGACCUAGUUCUCAGAGGCUUUCCUAACUCGAUACAUCCUUAGGGGUAUUAGGGACCGACUCCGAGAUCAGUUUACUCAGUUGGAGCAGGGCCACAUAACGAUUGUAGAGUAUGAGGCCAGAUUUCAUCAGUUUUCCUGACAUGCCACUAUGAUUCUACCUACUGAGGAGGAGCAGGUAUGAUGUUAGACCUUACCUGAGGUUGGGGACUGAGCAUUUGGUUUCUAUGGGCCAUUUUUUGUAGAAGUGAUGGAUCAUGCCCGCACGAUCGAGAUUAUUCGUCGUCAGGCCCAAAGAGGCAGCGAUAAGAGACCAGACAUCAGGGCAGCUAUAGUGGGUACCAAUCUAGAGGUCAUGAUAGUUGUGACAGGCCCCGUUAGCGAUUCCAGCAUAAUAGGUAGCAGCAAGGUCAGUCCAGCUAAUCAGUUUAGGCCGCCUUUCCAGCAAUUGAGGGUAGUCAUCCAUGUUUGGGGGGUUCCACUGUAAGGCAGAGCUCGAGGGUAUCAAGUCUGCUUUCUUCCUACCGCGAAAAAGUUAUCACGGGUCAUUCAGCUUUAGGGUGCUUCGAUUGUGGCUUACUGGAGCAGUGGUCUAGGGAGUGUCCUGGCCGGGCUAGACCAUUGGCAGUAACAUCACCUCGCUAGUGUUCGGAGAGGUUCCCAAUAAGGCAAAUCAGGUGGUAGGGCAAAUUUUCGUAGAUGAGGCCGACAAGGCCACUUCUAUGAUGCUCGAAUAAGGGCAGAGGCUGAGGUAUCAUAUGAUGUUAUCACAGGUACUAUCUUUAUUUGUAAGUAGACUUCUUCAACUUUAUUUGAUCCAGGUUCCACAUAUUCCUAUGUGUCUAUAUAUUUUUCUCUACGUCUGGGUAUUGCUUGUCACUUGAGAUCUCGUUGCAUGUUUCAACCCUGAUAGGGGAUUCUUUAGUAGUGGAUCAGGUUCGUAGAUCUUGUGCGGUGACUAUUUAGGGGCAUGAGACUCGGGCAGAUCUUAUUUUACUUGAUCUGCUCGACUUCGAUGUUAUUCUGAGCAUCGAUUGGUUAUCCCCUCAUCAUGCGGUUUUAGACUGUUAUGCUAAGACCGUUACAUUAGAUAUGCCUGCUAUUCCCCGGUCUUUUGGUAGGUUAUUUAUAGUCGCUUACCUACUGGGAUCAUAUCUUUAUGCGGGCCCGAUGGCUAGUUACGUUUGGGUGCUUGGCGUACUUAAUAUAUAUCUGUGAUGUGUAUAGCAAGGCCCCUACUGUUGAUUCGGUCCCUGUGGUUAGGGAGUAUACUAAUUUCUUCCGCACAAACCUAUCUGGCCUACCCCUAGAGAGAGAUAUUGACUUUGCCAUAGAUUUGGAGCUGGGAACUUAGCCCAUUUCAAUACCACCUUACCGUAUGGCCCCCGCAGAGCAAAAGGAUCUCAAUAUGCAGCUUAAGGAUCUUCUAGGUAAGGGAUUUAUUCGCUCGAGUGUGUCACUGUGGGGUGCACCCAUCCUAUUUGUUAAGACGAAGGAUGGGACUAUGCGGAUGUGUGUUGAUUACAGGCAGCUGAACAAGGUGAUAGUGCAAAACCGUUACCCCAUUCCUAGUAUCGAUUAUCUAUUUGAUCAGCUUUAGGGUGAGACCAUGUUUUUUAAGAUUGACUUGAGGUCUGGCUACUACCAGUUGCGGAUUAGAGUAGUCGACAUUUCUAAGACUGUUUUCCGGACUUGCUAUGGCCACUAUGAGUUCCUUCUAAUGUCUUUUGAGCUUACAAAUGCCCCCACAAUUUUUAUGGACCUUAUGACUUGAGUAUUCAGGCAUUAUCUUGACUCCUUCGUGAUUGUAUUCAUCGAUGAUAUACUAGUAUACUCGCAGAGUAUGGAGGAAAAUGCAUAACACUUGAGGGUUGUGCUUCAGACUUUGAGAGAUCAGCAGUUUUAUGCUAAAUUCUCAAAGUGCGAGUUUUGAUUGGAGUCUGGCAUUUUUGGGACACAUGGUGUCCAUAGAGGAUAUCAAGGUGGAUCUGGCGAAGAUUGAGGUUAUUUAUGGUUACGCUAGGCCUACAUCUGUUACGUAGAUUUGGAGUUUCAUUGGAUUAGCUGAGUAUUAUAGAUAAUUCAUUAAGGGUUUUCCACCUUUACAGCCUCAUUGACUCGUUUGACUCGCCAAGAUGUUUCCUUUGUGUGGUUCGAGGAGUGUAAGUCAAGCUUUCGAAAUAUUAAGGAGUGUUCAGUUCCAGAACAUCAGUUUCAUUUUGAGUUCUUCUUUUUUAAUAUUAAGAUUGGGAUUUGGGGCCUUGCACUGGGUGUCCUUGUUUCGGUUGUUUUCAUCCUCCAAUAUUCAGAUAGAGUAUGUAACUCCUUUGAGGUUGGUGUUGUAUGCUUUGGUUGGUAAUUCUUGAAUUGCAUUAAAGGUUUACAGGAUAGCUAAGGACUCGUAAAAUGCCCUUAGUGGCUUGGAGAAAAGGAUUUGAGAACAUAAGAUAAAUAUUUGAAAUUUUGAGUGAGUUAUAUCUACCAUGGUCGUAUAUUACUCAUUUCAAUGGUUUUGAUUGUUUGAUCAUUUUUCAUUAUUUUUUCACCCCAAAUUAUGUUAUAAUAUGAUUUGUGAGCUUGGGGUGAUGUUUGGAACCUGUUUGGGAGGUCAAAUCCAAAAUUUUGUAUGCGGGUUCCAUAAUUCUCGUUUUAGACCCCAAAAUUGGUCCGUCUUAAAAAAUUAUAAAAUUAGUGUCUAAACGACUGUAUUAACACCAUGGUUCUAUUUUUGACAGUGUGACAACAUUCCGAGGCAGUUCGGAAGGGAAAAACUCCGUCACAAAAAUUUAGAGCCCGCGUAUUUAGCCUACAGGUAGGCUACAAUUUACCUUUCUUUAGAUUGAGUUGAAAUGAGUGAAAGCAUGAUGAAAUAUUUGGAAUUUGGAUUGGGUAGUUUGGUUGUAUAUUUUAGUUGUUAGAAAUUAUGUUUUAGGCUUGUUAUCGAGUUUUUCGGAUAUUUAGAAGCAUGUGUAUUUUGUCGUUGUUUGUUAGUAUUAUAAGGAGAGUUGAAUGGCAUGUUGUUGAUAUUGUGGAGUAUAUUGGACUUACUAUAGGAUGUAAACUUGUUUUAGAUGCCCCGGCAUCGCUCCGACGGACUUAGAUCCUUGUAGAAUGGUAUAGUGGGCUAGUGUCUGGUAGUUUGGUCUUAGUUAGGUGUUACCCUUGCUCUUAAAAAUAUCCUCAUCCAUAAAUCGGUAUAAUACUGACUUUUGUGAUGUGUAGGCAAUACUAGAUUUCGUGAUUAUUGACUUUCGCUUUGGUUCUAGUUUUGGCAGCAUAUCGGUUGACUCAUUUGGGAAAAGAGUUUUGGUACUGUUGUAUUCUAGUUGGGAAGUAGAAUGUUUGCCAUCAUGGGAUAAAUUAUCUGUGAGCAUCUGGGUACCAAGUCCCGGCCUCCAUUCUGAAUUAUCGAGGAGAAUCUGGGUACUCAGCCUCAGCCUUUACUGGCUUGCAAGUAUGACGAGAAUCUGGGUACCUAGUCUCGGCCUCGAUCAUACCGAUGUAUUACAGCGAGCAUUCGGGUACCCAGUCCCGACCUCGACUACACUUAUGUAUUAUGGAAAGCAUCCGGAUACCCAGUCCGGCCUUGGCCACUUUAAAUAUUUGGGUAAGCAUCUGGGUCCUAGUCCCGACCUUGACCCCUAAGUCACCCCUAGAUCGAUUGACUCUUGGAGAUUCUGGGUUUGAAAAUGAUACAGUACUUUGGCUCCUGAUAUCGCAGAUUCUUGGUUCCUAGCCUUGGUAGUUGUAGCUAUUCUAUGUACUCGGCGGGCUUAUGAGGGUUCAUCUAGAUUUUUAUUUAACUUGUGCACGAGUGUCUCUGCUGGACUUAUGGGAACCUAGUUGGGUAUAGUUAACUAUAGUUCUCAUAGGACCGAGCACCAGCUACUAUCAUGGAUAGAUCGAGCCUGUUGCUGUCAGCUUCGGAGAAUAGGAGACAGGUACUAGAGAUCAUCUACCGGCGCACCAUUGAAGAUCUCCUCACUUUCAGCUAGUUGGUGAGUCCUUCCAGUUUCUGGAGGAUACCGAGAUUAGCUCUAUAGCUUUGUUUUAUCUCCUUUAUUUUUGAUUAUUGGUAGUCAUGGGCUUAUCAUUGGCACCUCCUGGAUUGUUGAUAGAGGCUUCAUAGACUAGAGUGUGGAAAUGAUGAUUCGUUCGUUUUGAUUAGUUUUAUUUUAGCUGA